rnacentral:rRNA from 1 species
GACGAACCGUGCGAACGUUGUUCGGAAUCACUGGGCUUAAAGGGCGCGUAGGCGGCCCGCGAGGUCGGGGGUGAAAUCCCACCGCUCAACGGUGGAAGGGCCUCCGAUACCGGCGGGCUGGAGGAAGGUAGGGGUGCGCGGAACUUCUGGUGGAGCGGUGAAAUGCGUUGAUAUCAGAAGGAACGCCGGCGGCGAAAGCGGCGAGCUGGACACCUUCUGACGCUGAGGCACGAAAGCUAGGGGAGCGAACGGG